rnacentral:rRNA from 1 species
UACGAAGGGGGCUAGCGUUGCUCGGAAUCACUGGGCGUAAAGGGUGCGUAGGCGGGUCUUUAAGUCAGGGGGGAAAUCCUGGAGCUCAACUCCAGAACUGCCUUUGAUACUGAGGAUCUUGAGUUCGGGAGAGGUGAGUGGAACUGCGAGUGUAGAGGUGAAAUUCGUAGAUAUUCGCAAGAACACCAGUGGCGAAGGCGGCUCACUGGCCCGAUACUGACGCUGAGGCGCGAAAGCUAGGGGAGCAAACAGG